AGCGAAUGCUGGCGGUAGGCCUAACACAUGCAAGUCGAACGGCAGCACAGUAAGAGCUUGCUCUUACGGGUGGCGAGUGGCGGACGGGUGAGGAAUACAUCGGAAUCUACUUUUUCGUGGGGGAUAACGUGGGGAAACUUACGCUAAUACCGCAUACGACCUCCGGGUGAAAGCAGGGGAUCUUCGGACCUUGCGCGAAUGAAUGAGCCGAUGUCGGAUUAGCUAGUUGGCGGGGUAAAGGCCCACCAAGGCGACGAUCCGUAGCUGGUCUGUGAGGAUGAUCAGCCACACUGGAACUGAGACACGGUCCAGACUCCUACGGGAGGCAGCAGUGGGGAAUAUUGGACAAUGGGCGCAAGCCUGAUCCAGCCAUACCGCGUGGGUGAAGAAGGCCUUCGGGUUGUAAAGCCCUUUUGUUGGGAAAGAAAAGCAGCAGGUUAAUACCCCGCUGUUCUGACGGUACCCAAAGAAUAAGCACCGGCUAACUUCGUG
rnacentral:rRNA from 1 species